rnacentral:rRNA from 1 species
UGGGGAAUAUUGCACAAUGGGCGCAAGCCUGAUGCAGCCAUGCCGCGUGUAUGAAGAAGGCCUUCGGGUUGUAAAGUACUUUAAGUCGGGAGGAAGGUGGUAAGGUUAAUAACCUUAUCAAUUGACGUUACCGACAGAAGAAGCACCGGCUAACUCCGUGCCAGCAGCCGCGGUAAUACGGAGGGUGCAAGCGUUAAUCGGAAUUACUGGGCGUAAAGCGCACGCAGGCGGUUGAUUGAGUCAGAUGUGAAAUCCCCGGGCUUAACCCGGGAAUUGCAUCUGAUACUGGUCAGCUAGAGUCUUGUAGAGGGGGGUAGAAUUCCAUGUGUAGCGGUGAAAUGCGUAGAGAUGUGGAGGAAUACCGGUGGCGAAGGCGGCCCCCUGGACAAAGACUGACGCUCAGGUGCGAAAGCGUGGGGAGCAAACAGG